CUUUUCCUUUUUUUGAGAAAAGGACAUGUUAAUUUUGUGGUAGGGUUUAGCCGUUGGACUGUAGUUUUAUUUGCUUUUUGUAUGUGUCUUCACUUUUUAUUGGUGUUUGGACUGAGUCGUUGUGGAAGACAUACAUGUUACCAGAGGAGUUGUUCCUGUGGGGCGGCCUAGCCCUGGGACUGGGCCUCUGAAGAUUUAACACCUGUGUGUGUGCUGGGAGACUGAGCCCUUGUGGAAGAUAUUUUGACCAAAGGAGCUGUUCCUGUGGGGAGGCCUAGCCUGGGACUAGGCCUCUGAAGAUUGCACACCUGUGUGCUGGGAGUGUUUGGAUUGAGCCCUUGUGGAAGACAUUUCCCCU